AGGGGCCUUAUCUCAUUUUUCCAAUGAUGAUUGACUAUGGAGAUAGAGGAACUAUCCGUGAUAAAACUUGACAAAUUGACGAUCAAAUCCGUGAACUCUGACGAGCAUCCAACGGCCAGUGGUGUGGGAUUUCAUAAGGGACUUCAUCCCUUUAAAUAGAGAGGAAAGAGUUGGACUCCUCUCCAGCAUCGAAUUCCAGCUCCAAUUGGGAGUCGCUAUUUUAAUCGAGUUGAUGGCUGUGUAUUACAAUAAAUUUUGUAAAACUCAAAAUAAUAUGAUUUAAAAACUUGAUAAGUAUUGUUAUGGUUCUAAUAAUAUAGAGAGCACCAAUAGUCCCACAUUGAUUGUGAGUCAAAGGAGACUCGCGCUUAUAAAGAGGAAGAAAUUCUUUCCACGUGAGGUGCCUUUUAAAAGGCAAAACCGUAAGGCUCAUGGGUCAGAGCGGACAAUACCUCACGUGACGGAUCAAGCCCCUGUCUACAACAAUGACGUGCCAGGUAGGGAUCGAGGUCUGCCUCGAUUCUCUGGAGCUGAGAUCCACCUCAACUGACUGUGGGACUCCUCGGACUGUACACAUCGAAAUCUCCCAUGACUGAGGGACUCUGUUGUGGUUUUAAUAAUAUGGAGGGCGCCAAUAAUCCCACAUUGAUUGUGAAUCAAGGGGGACUCGCACUUAUAAGGAGCAAAAAAUUCUUCUCACGUGAGGCACCUUUUAAAGGACAAAACUGUGAGGUCCAUAGAUCAGAACGGAUAAUACCUCACGUAACGGACCGAACUCUUAUCCGCAACAAGUAUCAUAUGUG
rnacentral:lncRNA from 1 species